rfam:Homo sapiens chromosome 15, GRCh38 reference primary assembly.
GCUGGGCAUGGUAGCGUGUGCCUGUAUUCCUAGCUACUUGGGAGGCUGAGGUGGGAGGAUCGCUUAAGCCCAGGAGUUUGAGGCUGCAGUAAGCUGUGAUCGCACCAAUGCACUCCAGCCUGGGCAACAAAGUGAGAUCCUGUCUCCA